rnacentral:rRNA from 1 species
CCUACGGGAGGCAGCAGUGAGGAAUAUUGGUCAAUGGGCGAGAGCCUGAACCAGCCAAGUCGCGUGAGGGAAGACGGUCCUAUGGAUUGUAAACCUCUUUUGUCGGGGAGCAAAAAGGCCUCGUGAGGCCACAAGGGAGAGUACCCGAAGAAAAAGCAUCGGCUAACUCCGUGCCAGCAGCCGCGGUAAUACGGAGGAUGCGAGCGUUAUCCGGAUUUAUUGGGUUAAAAGGGUGCGUAGGCGGAAUAUCAAGUCAGCGGUAAAAAUUCGGGGCUCAACCCCGUCGUGCCGUUGAAACUGAUGUUCUUGAGUGGGCGAGAAGUAUGCGGAAUGCGUGGUGUAGCGGUGAAAUGCAUAGAUAUCACGCAGAACUCCGAUUGCGAAGGCAGCAUACCGGCGCCCAACUGACGCUGAAGCACGAAAGCGUGGGUAUCGAACAGGAUUAGAUACCCGAGUAGUC